CGGUUUUUGUUUAUGAUCAUCUCGAGUUUAUUUUCAUCCUUGCCUCUCGUGCAAGCGCUUUUUGUUAUCGGGUUUUUGUGUACUUUCCUGGUCCUUAAUUUUGACCAACGAUUUCUGUUUCCAUUUCUUACGGUGCGAUUUUUUUUGUUUUAAAUAAACA